rnacentral:rRNA from 1 species
AACGAACGCUGGCGGCAUGCCUAACACAUGCAAGUCGAACGGGUACCUUCGGGUGCUAGUGGCUCACGGGUGCGUAACGCGUGGGAAUCUGCCCUUGGGUUCGGCCUAACUCAGCGAAAGCUGUGCUAAUACCGGAUGAUUUCGAAAGACCAAAGAUUUAUCGCCCGAGGAUGAGCCCGCGUUGGAUUAGCUAGUUGGUGGGGUACAGGCCUACCAAGGCGACGAUCCAUAGCUGGUCUGAGAGGAUGAUCAGCCACACUGGGACUGAGACACGGCCCAGACUCCUACGGGAGGCAGCAGUGGGGAAUAUUGGACAAUGGGCGAAAGCCUGAUCCAGCAAUGCCGCGUGAGUGAUGAAGGCCUUAGGGUUGUAAAGCUCUUUUACACGGGAUGAUAAUGACAGUACCGGGAGAAUAAGCUCCGGCUAACUACGUG